UUUGAUUCUCAACUAAAGCUUUGAAUGUUUGAAAGAUUGUAAAUACUUCACUCUUAAAUUUGAUGAAAUACACCCAACACAUCCUAGUAUAAUCAUCAAUAAAGAGAAUGAAAUACUUGUUACCACAUAAUGAGGCUGUCUUCAUAGGUCCACACACGUCAGUGUGGAUGAGCUGAAGCUUUUAGCUGGCUCUCCCUGCUUGCCCUUUAGGAAAUGGUGGCCUGGAUUGCUUGCCAAGUUGACAUGUUUCACACAAUUGAAGCUCACCAUUCAAUGUGGGCAAUGCUUCAACCAUUUCCUUUUGUUUCAGAAUUGACAAGCCCUUUUGAUUGAAAUGGCCAAAUCUUUUAUGCCAAAGAUUUGAAAUAUCCUGAGUAGCACUCACAUAUGCAUGAUUGGAUACUUUAUCCCAGUCAACAACAGAGCUUCUGUUUUUCAUCUUUACACAGAACACUUGUUCUCCAGAAGGAUCAAAGAUAGUGCAUUUAUGAUCCUUAAACUGAAAAGAAUAGUUUUUCUCCAUCAUUUGUCCAACACUCAACAAAUUUUGACUGAUUUCAGAAAUUCUCCAUUGCCAACCUUUACUCUGGAUUUGUAAGAUUCAUCAAGGGUUUUGAACAUUCCAGCAUCAUUGCACAAAUGGUGUGUGCAUCCACUAUCGAUAAGCCAAGUAUCAGCUGAAUCAUUUGUUGAGAAACAAGUGACAACAAAGAAUUGCUCCUCCUGUGUAUCAACUUCAUCCGCAAGUGAGUGCAAGGAGGAAACUUCUUCUGUUUUGAACCUUCACUGGUGCUGCCCCCUUUAUUUUUGCCUUUACUUCUCAGAUUAAGCAACUUCUUUCCUUUUACAACUUGUUGUUUUUGCACAUAAA